rnacentral:rRNA from 1 species
GACGAACGCUGGCGGCGUGCUUAACACAUGCAAGUCGUACGGUAAGGCCCUUUCGGGGGUACACGAGUGGCGAACGGGUGAGUAACACGUGAGUAACCUGCCCACAACUUUGGGAUAACGCUAGGAAACUGGUGCUAAUACUGGAUAUGUGCUCCUGCUGCAUGGUGGGGGUUGGAAAGCUCCGGCGGUUGUGGAUGGACUCGCGGCCUAUCAGCUUGUUGGUGGGGUAGUGGCCUACCAAGGCGGCGACGGGUAGCCGGCCUGAGAGGGUGACCGGCCACAUUGGGACUGAGAUACGGCCCAGACUCCUACGGGAGGCAGCAGUGGGGAAUAUUGCACAAUGGGCGCAAGCCUGAUGCAGCAACGCCGCGUGCGGGAUGACGGACUUCGGGUUGUAAACCGCUUUCAGCAGGGACGAAGCUUUUUGUGACGGUACCUGCAGAAGAAGCACCGGCUAACUACGUG